GCCCGGGUGGCGGAAUUGGUAGACGCGCUGGACUCAAAAUCCAGUUUCAGCAAUGAAGUGCGGGUUCGAUUCCCGCCCCGGGUA
rnacentral:tRNA from 1 species